rnacentral:ncRNA from 1 species
CUCUAAUAUUAUUCUCGAUUAUAUAUUUUACGGAAUAUAUACAAUGAAGUAUUAGAUAUUAAAGAGAUUUAUUCCUUCCUAUAUAUAGGUAAAUAUGUAUCAGCAAAAUAUUUUAUGGUAGGAAUAACGAAGUUCAGUAUUUUGC